rnacentral:rRNA from 1 species
UACGGAGGGGGCAAGCGUUGUCCGGACUUACUGGGCGUAAAGGGCGCGUAGGUGGCCACUCCAAGCGUGCGGUGAAAGUCGGGGGCUCAACCCCUGAUCGGCCGUGCGAACUGGGGGGCUGGAGCACUGUAGAGGCAGGCGGAAUUCCGGGUGUAGCGGUGGAAUGCGUAGAGAUCCGGAAGAACACCGGUGGCGAAGGCGGCCUGCUGGGCAGUUUUGCUGACACUGAGGCGCGACAGCGUGGGGAGCAAACAGG